rnacentral:rRNA from 1 species
CCUACGGGUGGCAGCAGUGUGGCAUAUUGGUCAAUGUACGAGAGUCUGAACCAGCCAAGUAGCGUGAAGGAUGACUGCCCUAUGGGUUGUAAACUUCUUUUAUAUGUGAAUAAAACAGGGUAUGCAUACUCUCUUGUAUGUACCAUAUGAAUAAGGAUCGGCUAACUCCGUGCCAGCAGCCACGUUAAUACGGAGGAUCCGAGCGUUAUCCGGCUUUAUUGGGUUUAAAGUGAGCGUUGGUGGGUUGUUAGGUUGGUUGUGAAAGUUGGCGGCUCAACCGUAAAAUUGCAGUUGAAACUGGCAGUCUUGAGUACAGUAGAGGUGGGCGGGAUUCGUGGUGUAUCGGUGAAAUUCUUAGAUAUCACGAAGAACUCCGAUUGCGAAGGCAGCUCACUGGACUGCAACUGACACUGAUGCUCGAAAGUGUGGGUAUCAAACAGGAUUAGAUACCCGUGUAGUC